AUGUCUGAGUCAGAUGUGGAAAAGGAAAGAAAGAGAGCACAAGAUGAUGAUAUUGCAGCCACAUCUUAUGUGAAGGGACAAUACUCUAUUCCGAAUUGUAUUGAUGUCUUGAUAAUUGUAAACCAGAAAAAACAGGGCCGGGGUGAUUGGAGCAAUGAUAUAUUUAGCUAUGCUUUAGAAUUGAUUAAAGAUAGCAAAAAUAGAGUCAUUGUUAUCUAUUUAAAAAAUCGGUUAAAUGAUUUGGCCAAUUGGAUAAACCACAAGUAUGACAGUAGAAACCGCUAG